rnacentral:lncRNA from 1 species
UCUGUGUGUACAGCAGUAGCAGGUGCGAUAAUUUCAUUGUGUUUCACACUUUUGAGGUUGGAGUUACCCUUUCCCGAGGGCAGGUGUGGGGCCCACUGAAACGGCACAGUCAAAGGCAUGCAUGGUCUGCUCCCCAGGCUGGCUGUAGGAGUAGUGAGAUGCAGUCAUUGCUGUUGUUGAAAAUUAUAAGUAUUUUGAGAUGUUUGAUCUUUUUAUUUAAACAAAAAGGUUCUCCUGUAGGUGGGAGGCCAAAUCUAUGCAGCAGAUGUAGCUGGGUAGGGGAAGUUGAUAGUGACUGACGUGGUGAUGGUGGUUUACAGUUUAUUUUAGGUGCAUUUACACACAUGAGUUUUCUAUUUUCUUUUUGAAGAUAAGGAAAAUAGAUUUAAACUGUUUAUUUAAAUAUAUGGCUUCUAAAAUGUAAUGUAUAAAAAUACAUAGAAUAUUAAUUUUUAUUUAUUCACUUGUUCAGAUGUUUGAAGUUGAGAAACAUUUAUAUUCUUUCUAGGAGUAUAAAUCUAUAUUUUUGUCAAUAGGUAAGGAAUUACUGCAGGAAAAUAGUGCUGUUCUGGAGACUAAGCACUGUGUGUCUCUUGGGCAGUCUCUGUAUUUCUCAGAAAAGACAGUAUAUCCCCUGUAUGUGCUUCAGGGAAAAAGCAGGCACACAAACAGAUAAAAAGCAAAACAAAACCAAAACAAUAGCACAAUCCCAUGAAACUAAAAAGGUCUCAAGGAAAAAAAGACAUUUAUUCCAUUUAUUAUUUAAUCUUGAUAGUUUUGAAACUAAUGUAGAAAUUUCGUUCUCAUUAUAGAUAGCGAAAAGAAAAGCUGAAAAGGAAAAAAUUGUUUCAUAACCCCCAUUAUUUUUCCUGAAAGCAAAUGGAAAUCUUAGGUUUUCAGUAUAAAUGUACUUGGCAACUAUUCUAAAAGACUCAAGGCUUGGGAAUGAUGAUGGUUCUUCCUCUUCCUCAGUGAGCAACAGCUUUCCUUUGGAUAAAAUGACUCACACUAACUUUACAUCAUCUGAUGAAUCAGUUAUGACCUAAAUGUCUGCCAAAAGUUCAAACUUUGCUCCGCACUUGCAUACAAUGAUGGCUAUCCAACGAGAAAAGGAUUUCCAGGUUUUGCCUGAAAGUUGACAAGAAUUGACACAAAACAGAAUUGUAUCUAACAGACAUACAUAGGGAGCUCCUAGAAGUUGGGAAACCCUGACUCCCAUUCACCUGACAAAUAUAGGUGGACUUUUCUUCUCUUCCUCCUCUCCCUCUUCCCUCUCCUCCUGCCCUUCCCUCCUCUUUCCCAUUCUCUUCC